rnacentral:rRNA from 1 species
GCACAAAACAACCUCCGAACGAUUUUAGCCAAGACCAACAAGUCAAAGCGACAAUGAUCUAAUUGACCCAAUUUUUGAUCAACGGACCA